CGCGCGAAGCAAGGCCGCCGUGUGACCUUCCGCCCAGCGCCGUGUGACCCUUCGCCCAGCGCCGUUUGACCCUCUGCCCAGCGCCGCGCAACCUCUGUCUCCGCGCCGUCGUCCAGAUCUGCGUCGCCGUGCCCCGUCCUAAUCGCCUCUGUCUCCGUCGAAGCCAAGCCCAGCCGCCGCCCAUUCCUUUCUCCUCCGUUUUCUGCACUGCCGCGCGACUCUCCGUCCGUCUGUAUACAGUCUCUCCGUCGCACGUCGUCUCUUCGCAAAGCUGCUGCUCGACUUCUUCCGCGAAUAACACCUUUGACGUCCGCGCAAUCAGGUUUUAAUUCGCUACCGUGAACCGAACUAAAGACCCCAGAUCCAACUUUCUGCGCGUCGAGUUCCUUCUUCGUCCUGCCGCAGGUAGCAAACCCACGCCAUUCGAUUGGGUUGUUCGCUGUCGUUCCUGCUUUGCCACGAGUCAUUAAAUUUUGAUUGGUUGAAGGUAACACUCGAAUUCAUUGGGUUCGCAGCAAACAAUUGAUUCUAGUUGGAACUCGUUUUGUGAAGAUUUGGGUUCGUUCUUCGUAGACUUCAACGUGGUUAAGGAGCUUAACUAACUUGAAAGCAAAGGUAAUAAAGACGGCAAACCGGCGAGGGGCAGAAAGGAAGCGUGAUUGCCAUUGG